rnacentral:rRNA from 1 species
CUCGAGGACGAACGCUGGCGGCGUGCUUCAUACAUGCAAGUCGAAACGAUAAGGCACCUUCGGGUGUACAUAAGUGGCGGACGGGUGAGUAAAAUGUAGAGAAUCUGCCCUAGAGAGUGGGACAACAGAGGGAAACUUCUGCUAAUACCGCAUAUGCGCGUAUCUGAAAUGAUAUUCGUGAAAACUCCGGUGCUCUAGGAUGAGUCUGCAUCUGAUUAGCUAGUUGGGGGUGUAAUGGACCACCAAGGCGACGAUCAGUAGCUGGUUUGAGAGGAUGAUCAGCCACAAUGGGACUGAGACACGGCCCAUACUCCUACGGGAGGCAGCAGUAGGGAAUUUUGCGCAAUGGGGGAAACCCUGAACCGCAGCAACGCCGCGUGAUUGAAGAAGCCCUUCGGGGUGUAAAGAUCUGUCAGUGGGGACGAAAUUUGACGGUACCCACAGAGGAAGCAUCGGCUAACUCCGUGCCAGCCGCGGC